UACAUGGGGUGCAAACGUUGCUCGGAAUUAUUGGGCGUAAAGCGCACGUAGGCGGUUCGUUAAGUCGGAUGUGAAAUCCCCGGGCUCAACCUGGGAAUGGCAUUUGGGACUGCAAGGCUUGAGUGCGGCAGAGGAGACUGGAAUUCCUGGUGUAGCAGUGAAAUGCGUAGAUAUCAGGAGGAAUACCGAUGGCGAAGGCAGGUCUCUGGGCUGACACUGACGCUCAUGCACGAAAGCGUGGGGAGCAAACAGG
rnacentral:rRNA from 1 species